UUUUUUUCACACACUUCAGAGCAGCACGCAGGCACCAUCAGCUGAUGCAGAGGCAGACAACGGCAGAAAGUUAUCUGGUAGCCUGCUUGUGCUUCUGGUUUGAUCAUGCUCUGGGACGAUGGGGCACACUCCUCCUUUUGCAAGAUUAGUUACAGUGGCAAGAGCUGAUCUUGGAAGAGAGGCAGUGAUAACCACGUGUCUGAGCAUCGAGUCUGAUCAAGUAAUGCUGGCAGAAUGUUGGGCUCCUGGAUAUUUUGCCAUGUGAAUUUACCCAUGCGAUGUCUUGUUCACGGAGUACACCGCUGGAGGUGGCCUGCCUGUGGAUGGAGGAAUGUUGGACAUUUCAGAAAAGGUUUGCACACCACAAGAACAUCAUUCAGUGCUAGGGUUACCCCCGUCUUCACCAGAGCUUUGGCUUUUGGUGAUAAAAUUGCCAUCAUUGAUCAAAAUGGAGAGCACACAUACAGGGAUCUUUACACUCAGAGUGUCCACUUGUCUCAGCAACUCUGUGAAGUGCUCGGAUGUUCCAGUGGAGACCUAAAGGAGGAGCGGAUCUCAUUUUUAUGCCCUAAUGAUGCCUCAUAUGUGGUUGCCCAGUGGGCUUCCUGGAUGAGUGGAGGCAUAGCUGUUCCUCUGUACAGGAAACACCCAGUGCAGGAACUGGAGUAUUUCAUCCAAGACUCCCAGAGUAGUCUAGUCAUUGCCACGGAAGAAUAUGUGAGGGACAUAACCCCUAGUGCUGAGAAACUGGGAUUACCUGUUCUGCCACUUGUUAACUCUGGUAGCAAUGGUUGUGCAAGUGAUAAGGCUGUGGAAGCAUUCCCCUUGGCAAUUGACUGUCCUGAGUGGAAAGAUAGAGGAGCCAUGAUAAUCUACACCAGUGGGACUACAGGAAGACCAAAAGGCGUCCUUAGUACCCAUCAGAAUGUGCAAGCUGUGGUAACAGGGCUGGUUGACAAAUGGGAGUGGACAAAGGAAGAUGUUAUCUUGCAUGUGCUGCCUUUACACCAUGUCCACGGAGUGAUCAAUAAGCUGCUGUGCCCUCUUUGGGUGGGAGCUACGUGCAUCAUGCUACCUGAGUUCAGCCCUCAGAAGGUUUGGGAGAAGUUCUUAAACCCCAGAGCUCCGCGGAUCAACGUCUUCAUGGCGGUCCCCACUAUUUACUCCAGGCUGAUGGAACAUUAUGAAGAACAUUUCUCUCAGCCUCAUGUCCAGGAUUUUGUACGUGCCACGUGUCAGGAUAAUUUCAGGUUAAUGGUUUCAGGAUCGGCAGCCCUUCCUGUGCCAGUCCUGGAGAGGUGGAAGAACAUCACCGGACACACACUGCUGGAGAGAUAUGGGAUGACGGAGAUCGGAAUGGCACUUUCUAACCCCUUGCACGGAGUUCGUGUCCCAGGAUCUGUGGGGACCCCGCUGCCAGGGGUGGAAGUGCGCAUUGCCACGAAGAGUUUGAAAAGGGAAGGUCCUUCCUACACCAUCCACGCUCAAGGAGAUGAAUGUGACACAAAGGUGACCCCCGGCUUAGAUGGCAAAGAAGGGGAGCUUUUCGUUAAGGGGCCUACAGUAUUUCGAGAAUACUGGAAUAGACCUGAAGAAACAAAAGAAGCUUUCACACCCGACGGCUGGUUCAAAACAGGGCUGCAGAGGUGGAAAGCUAGUGCACUCACGCACCAAGAAAACAGCCACACCCGAAGCACAGCUAUGUCUGAUGGUUUUAAGCAGGACAUCAGACUGAAUCUUCCUGAUGUGCAGACAGAAGGCCAGCUUCAUUCCCAGUGUCUCUUCAGAGAGCUCAGUGGAGUCACACCCGGAAUAAGUGACUAUCUGGGAAAGUAGCAGCCCCGGGUGCGGCUAGUAGGAAGCAGAAGUUUUUUGAGAACCUUCCAAAAGUGGCAACAUGGAAUCCAACUGGGAUCCGGCUUCUGGCCAACCAGAGCAAGAGCAAGUACUUAGCUUGCUGAAAACCGUGUCUGGGGGCAUUGGAGAGAUCAGAGCUGCCCCAGGACUCAGGUGACCCAGCUUGCAAGGGUUACCUGCACGAGGGAGAGCGAACGGAAUCUGCCCACACACACACCGCUCCUGGUUCAAGACAAGGGGGUGUAAUUAACACCUUGCCACAUAACGACAGGAGGGUUGGUCUUGACAUCACAAGCAGAAGAUGGUGAAGUUCCAGGAGGAGGGAGACACGGCGGUGUAUAAAGAGGGCAUGUACUGGAUCAAGGGCCGCACCUCUGUGGACAUCAUCAAAAGCGGAGGCUAUAAAAUUAGCGCCCUAGAAGUCGAGCGCCAUCUGCUAGCGCACCCCAGUAUUGCAG